rnacentral:rRNA from 1 species
GCGGCAGGCCUAAUACAUGCAAGACGAACGGUAAGCGAGGUAGCAAUAUUUCGCCUAGAGUGUCGUAAGGGUGCGUAACACGUAUGCAAUCUGCCCCCAACAGGAGGAUAGCUCGGGGAAACCCGAAUUAACCCUUCAUAAUAUCACGUGAGGGCAUCCGAUUGUGAUUAAAACUGAGGUGGUUGGGGAUGAGCAUGCGUCUGAUUAGCUAGUUGGUAGGGUAAUGGCCUACCAAGGCGAUGAUCAGUAGGGGAACUGAGAGGUUGAUCCCCCACACUGGCACUGAGAUACGGGCCAGACUCCUACGGGAGGCAGCAGUAGGGAAUAUUGGACAAUGGGUGCGAGCCUGAUCCAGCCAUGCCGCGUGCAGGAAGACGGCCUUCUGGGUU